rnacentral:rRNA from 1 species
GAUGAACGCUGGCGGCGUGCCUAAUACAUGCAAGUCGAGCGAACAGACGAGGAGCUUGCUCCUCUGACGUUAGCGGCGGACGGGUGAGUAACACGUGGAUAACCUACCUAUAAGACUGGGAUAACUUCGGGAAACCGGAGCUAAUACCGGAUAAUAUAUUGAACCGCAUGGUUCAAUAGUGAAAGACGGUUUUGCUGUCACUUAUAGAUGGAUCCGCGCCGCAUUAGCUAGUUGGUAAGGUAACGGCUUACCAAGGCAGCGAUGCGUAGCCGACCUGAGAGGGUGAUCGGCCACACUGGAACUGAGACACGGUCCAGACUCCUACGGGAGGCAGCAGUAGGGAAUCUUCCGCAAUGGGCGAAAGCCUGACGGAGCAACGCCGCGUGAGUGAUGAAGGUCUUCGGAUCGUAAAACUCUGUUAUUAGGGAAGAACAAAUGUGUAAGUAACUAUGCACGUCUUGACGGUACCUAAUCAGAAAGCCACGGCUAACUACGU